GAUGAACGCUAGCGGCAGGCCUAAUACAUGCAAGUCGGACGGGAUUCAGGAGCUUGCUUCUGAUGAGAGUGGCGCACGGGUGCGUAACACGUAUGUAACCUACCUUUAUCAGGGGGAUAGCCUCUCGAAAGAGAGAUUAAGCCCGCAUAAAAUCACAGCACAGCAUUGUGUAAUGAUCAAAUAUUUAUAGGAUAAAGAUGGGCAUGCGGAACAUUAGCUAGAUGGCGGGGUAACGGCCCACCACGGCGACGAUGUUUAGGGGAUCUGAGAGGAUGGCCCCCCACACUGGUACUGGGACACGGACCAGACUCCUGCGGGAGGCAGCAGUAAGGAAUAUUGGUCAAUGAGCGGAAGCCUGAACCAGCCAUGCCGCGUGCAGGAAGACGGCCCUACGGGUUGUAAACUGCUUUUAUACGGGAAUAAGCCCAGAUACGUGUAUCUGGCUGAAUGUACUGUAAGAAUAAGGAUCGGCUAACUCCGUG
rnacentral:rRNA from 1 species